CCCUGGGGUCCCUCACCCCACUCAGGCAGACGACAGCCAGAGUGGGUCAAAGUGGCAACCCGCCGCGCAGCUCAGCCCUGGGGGCCCAACCCUGACUCAGGCGGCAGACCACCAGAAUGGUGAAAGUGGCAGCCCGCUGCGCUGCCCAGCCCGGGCGGGCCCCCCUCUACUCAGGCGGCCGACAGCCAGACUGGGUCAAAGUGGCAGCCCGCCGUGCUGCUCACCCCUGGCGGCCACCGCCAACUCAGGUGGCCCACCGCCAGAGUGGGUCAAACUGGCAGCCUGCCGCCCUGCUCAGCACUGGGGGCCCCACUCCCACUCAGGCGGCCGACCGCCCGAGUGGGUCAAAGUCGCAGCCCGCAGCGCUGCUCAGCCCUGGGGGCGCCCCACGUAGUCUGGCGGCCGAUCGCCACAGUGGCUCAUAGUGGCAGCCCACCGCGCUGCUCAGCCCUGGGGGUCCCACGCCCACUCAGGCGGCCGACCGCCAGAAGUGGUCAAAGUGGCAGCCCGUCGUGCUGCUCAGCCCUGGGGGCCCCUCCCCCACUCAGGCGGCCGAAGGUCAGAGUGGGAAAAACUGGCAGCCCGCCGCGCUGCUCUGCCCUGGGGGACCCACGCCCACUCAGGCGGCCGCCCACCACAGUGGGUCAAAGUGGCAGUCUGCUGCCCCGCUCAGCCCUGGGGGGGCCCCCACUCGGGCGGCCGAUGGCGCAAGUGAGUAAAGUAAAAGUGGCAGCCCGCCGCGCCGCUCAGCCACGGGGCCCCCACUCAGGCUGCAGACUGUGUAAAUGGCAGCCCCUGUGGCUGGGAAGUGCUUUGCAUCUACAGAAGCCUCUGGAACUAGGGCUAUGUUCUAUAUAUUAUACAGAAUCCAGCAGGAAAUGUUCAUCCAAGAACCCAUGCAAAAGACGCCCAUCCUAUUCCGCUGUCUGCCUUCUAGAGGGAACCAUUAUUCCGAUUCCCCUGGGUUUUUUUGUUUG
rnacentral:lncRNA from 1 species